UACGUAGGGUGCGAGCGUUGUCCGGAAUUAUUGGGCGUAAAGAGCUUGUAGGCGGUCUGUCGAGUCUGCUGUGAAAAUCCGGGGCUCAACCCCGGACUUGCAGUGGGUACGGGCAGACUAGAGUGUGGUAGGGGAGACUGGAAUUUACGGUGUAGCAGUGAAAUGCGUAGAGAUCGUAAGGAAGACCAGUGGCGAAGGCGGGUCUCUGGACAGUUCCUGACACUGAGGCACGAAGGCCAGGGGAGCAAACGGG
rnacentral:rRNA from 1 species